GUGGGGAAUCUUGGACAAUGGGCGAAAGCCUGAUCCAGCGACGCCGCGUGACUGAUGAAGCCCCUCGGGGUGUAAAAGUCUUUCAGCAGGGACAAUGAUGAUGGUACCUGCAGAAGCAGCUGCGGCUAACUACGUGCCAGCAGCCGCGGUAAUACGUAGGCAGCAAGCGUUGUUCGGAAUUACUGGGCGUAAAGCGAGUGUAGGCGGUUUGCCAAGUCCGUUGUGAAAUCUCCCGGCUCAACUGGGAGGGUGCGCCGGAAACUGGCAGGCUAGAGUGCGGUAUGGGAGAGUGGAAUUCCUGGUGUAGCGGUGAAAUGCGUAGAUAUCAGGAGGAACACCGGUGGUGAAGACGGCUCUCUGGACCGCUACUGACGCUGAGACUCGAAAGCGUGGGGAGCAAA
rnacentral:rRNA from 1 species